UACGGAGGGGGCUAGCGUUGUUCGGAAUUACUGGGCGUAAAGGGCGGGUAGGCGGCCACCGCAAGUCAGUUGUGAAAUCUCUGGGCUUAACCCAGAAAGGUCAACUGAUACUGCGGGGCUAGAGUGCAGAAGGGGCAACUGGAAUUCUCGGUGUAGCGGUGAAAUGCGUAGAUAUCGAGAGGAACACCUGCGGCGGAGGCGGGUUGCUGGGCUGACACUGACGCUGAACUGCGAAAGCUAGGGGAGCGAACGGG
rnacentral:rRNA from 1 species